ACGCUCGACACCUACGGGAGGAGCAGUGAGGGAUAUUCGGCAAUGGGGGAAACCCUGACCGAGCAACGCCGCGUGAGGGAAGACGGUUUUCGGAUUGUAAACCUCUGUCCUCUGUGAAGAUAGUGACGGUAGCAGAGGAGGAAGCUCCGGCUAACUACGUGCCAGUAGCCGCGGUAAUCUGAGCGGGCUGGCAAGGC
rnacentral:rRNA from 1 species